CUGACUGCUAUCGGAUUGGUACUAAGCCAUGUGAGUCGUUGCAGCAAUGCAAGGCAGACGGCUCAGUAACACGUAGUCAACCUAACCUAUGGACGGGAAUAACCUCGGGAAACUGAGAAUAAUACCCGACAGAUCAUGAUACCUGGAAUGGUUUAUGGUUCAAAUGAUUUAUCGCCAUAGGAUGGGACUGCGGUCUAUCAGCUUGUUGGUGAGGUAAUGGCCCACCAAGGCUAUAACAGAUACGGGCUCUGAGAGGAGGGGCCCGGAGAUGGGUACUGAGACACGGACCCAGGUCCUAUGGGGCGCAGCAGGCGAGAAACCUUUGCAAUGUGCGAAAGCACGACAAGGUUAAUCCGAGUGAUUCCUGCUAAAGGAAUCUUUUGUUAGUCAUAAAACCACUGAUGAAUAAGGGGUGGGCAAGUUCUGGUGUCAGCCGCCGCGGUAAAACCAGCACCUCGAGUGGUCAGGAGGUUUAUUGGGCCUAAAGCAUCCGUAGCCGGCUGCUCAAGUUUCCGGUUAAAUCCACACGCUUAACGUAUGGGCUGCCGGAAAUACUGUUCAGCUAGGGAGUGGGAGAGGUAGACGGUACUCGAUAGGAAGGGGUAAAAUCCAUUGAUCUAUUGAUGACCACCUGUGGCGAAGGCGGUCUACCAGAACACGUUCGACGGUGAGGGAUGAAAGCUGGGGGAGCAAACCGGAUUAGAUACCCGGGUAGUCCCAGCUGUAAACGAUGCAGACUCGGUGAUGCAUUGGCUUGUGGCCAGUGCAGUGCCGCAGGGAAGCCGUUAAGUUUGCCGCCUGGGAAGUACGUACGCAAGUAUGAAACUUAAAGGAAUUGGCGGGGGAGCACCACAAGGGGUGAAGCCUGCGGUUCAAUUGGAGUCAACGCC
rnacentral:rRNA from 1 species